CAAAACACACAUGGGGAAGCGCUAGCCGCACAUAGUAGGCUUCGCAAAGUUAUUCCAGCGCAAUAAUUUGCUGUACACUGCUGUAUUAAAUACAUUGUAGGCCCCCGCUACCACUGCCGCGACUGGGAACACUACCUGGGAGCACUACCGAGGAGCAUUUCAUGUAUAUAUCGAACGGAACUGGCCAGGAUUUUUUGGUACAGAGAAAUUGAUGGCGAGCUAAGCGGGGGAGGCUGAGAUCCUGGACUGGCUUGGACUCCACGUGAAUGGACUACCCAGCCGCUCCUUCAGGGCUGGAAAUGAGAGAAUUUGUGCCGCUUCCAGGACAGGAGGAUACCAAGGCAUGCCCAUCUGACUGUACCACUCGGCACAGGAUCAUUAGGAAAUCGCUCCUCUAUAAACGUACGAGUCCACAACCACAAAGAUGAGAGUGAGGCCGACAAUGGAGGCGGUAGGAACAGAGAUGUGUCGAGCCAGAUCUUCCAUCUAUCAUUCAUCAGCUGAAACAAGGAGCCAGAUUUGCACAAACAUGGAAAGGGAUGAAGGGAAAGAAUGGGAAGAGAGCAGGACGGGGAUAAAUGAGAAGGUAAAGGGUGAGCAGUCACCCAACACAGUCAUCAACUCUCUUCCAUCCAUCAUCUGUCUCCAGUCCAGAAGCUGAAAUUGCCCCGCCAGCAACUUCUCCUGUGUAUUACGCAGACAUGUUUAGGAAUAUUUCUGCACCAGCUCAUUCAUGCAAAUGUGUGCUUGUUUUGUAUACAACUUUCCUUUGCGGUCACCAAAACAGACACUCAGCAGUAGCUUUUUGGUUUUUGCUAUUCCAUUCAAAAGGUCAGAUGAAAACUGACUUGCAUUUCCCAUUGCAAAUAAUGCAAAGCCACUGAAUCCCUUCCAGGCACCCCAAAGUAUGUAUGACAACUACAGUAGGUGAAGGCACUACAGUGGAAAUCACGUGAAUUCUGAAAUAUAGAAUGAGUUCUAUGGCACCAUUAGGACUUCAUCUCUCAUAAUGCCAGGAGCCGCCGUGGUGUAGUGGUUCUAACCUCCACUAGUAACCAUCAUUGGUAUUGGUCAGGAAGGGCAUCCGGAAUAUGAAGUGCUCAAGCCAAAAUCAUGCGGUUUGAAAAAAUAUGUGGUCAAACUAUCUGAUGUGGUGACUCCAUAAUCAGGAAAGAGCAGAAACAAACAAACACCUCUCAUAAUGUCAACUUUUUGUCGCAUAUCCUCAGUAGGGUGGGGCUAUGCUGGAGCCUAUCCCAGCUGGACUGGUGGCCAGCCAAUCACAGGGCACAUAUAGAUUCAUAAUUCUGACUUAAUUUAAAAAUUAAAUAAUAAUAAUAUACAAUUAAAUAAUAACAAUAAUUAAAUAAUAAAAUAUAUAUUUAUAUUAUAAUAACAAUUAUUAAUUAUUAAUUAUUAUUAUAAAUAAGUCAUUCAUUUUCCUCACCAGGGUCGCGGGGGUGCUGGAGCCUAUCCCAGCUGUCUUUGGGCGGGAGGCGGGGUACACCCUGGACUGGUGGCCAGCCAAUCACAGGGCACAUAUAGACAAACAACCAUUCACACUCACAUUCAUAUCUAUAGACAAUUUGGAGUCGCCAAUUAACCUAGCAUGUUUUUGGAAUGUGGGAGGAAACCGGAGUACCCGGAGAAAACCCACGCAUGCACGCAAACUCCACACAGAGAUGACCGAGGGUGGAAUUGAACCCUGGUCUCCUAGCUGUGAGGUCUGCGCGCUAACCACUCGCCCGCCGUGCCGCCCUAAUAUAAUAUAUUAUAUAAUAUAAUAUAUAAUUAUAUAAUAUAAUAUAAUUAUAUAAUAUAUUAUAUAAUGUAAUACUUAUGACUUAUUAUCUUAUAAUAUAUAAUAAUAUUAUAAUUAUAAUAAUUGUGACCAUUUAUGAUGAAAUAUUAUUACCAGCACAAACCAUCAUUACACCGUCACAUAAAGCAGCACAGCACCAACCUUUGUCUGCUUUGUCUCAAAGGUUGAGAGCUUUGCGUGGGCUGGCAGGAAUCUCCUGCCAAAAUGGCUGCACUGGCGAUGCAAGGUUCUGAGAGACGGACGGAACCCCAAUCAUGUCGACUCGCCUUAACAAGGCUGCCCCUGCGAGGUACACCAUUGUUACCCAGCGCUCUUUUGCAGAGCUUUUCUACCACGGUAUAUUCACUACCUGCUCCAAAAUAUCCAUCAACAAAGCCACAGCAACUUCCUGUAAGCUGCUCAAACUCCUUCCUCUGAAGUAAGGACAAAUGAAUGACACACCAAACUUUUCUCACCUUACUGCCGUUCUUGCUAAUGAGACACGAUAUUAUCUCAUAUACUGCUAUAUACCUUUUUUAAAUAUAUUACUGACCUACGAGUGGACUUCUGGUCUAAAAUGCCGCAGGUUGCUUUUUUGCCACUUUUAGAGAUUAAAAGAUUUGAUUCCUGCUGUCCAUCUGCACACAUCAUUAUCAUUUCCCUUGCUCUCUUCUGGUCCGUCUGCUCAGAUGUCGUCCUAAAACACCCCCACGACUGCCCCCUCACUUCCUCUUUCCUCCCCGUCAAACUUUCGGGGCUCUCUAACAAAGUUGGUGUGUGUUUUUUGUUUCUACGGAACGUAAGCGUGCAGAUCAUUAUCAGCAGGACAACAAUGUCCCUGCAGCAAGACGGGAGAGAUGGUGCAGGAGGAAAGGUCUCCCCAGCCAUGAAAUAAUAAAUCAUUGCAUAUCUGUGUAUAUACCUUGUUUGGGUGUUGAAAGUAAAUUC